UAUUAAAUGGCAUCCAGGUUAUUAUUUUGUUACUAUUUUGGUAUAGGUUUUUCUUUCAUUGUAAUGCUUGAAGAAAUAAAACUAAUGCAUAUGUUUUUAUUCAGAUAGGGAUGGGAACAAAUUUGAGUUUUCCCAAAACUGAAAAGUUUUCUGAAGAUAGAGAAAAUGACUGUCUUAGCUAUGGUUUGUCAUCGAUGCAAGGGUGGCGCACAACAAUGGAAGAUGCACAUGCUGCACAUAUUGAUGUGGAUGCGUCCACUUCAUUUUUUGGUGUAUAUGAUGCGCAUGGAGGUAAGGAUUGAACAAGUUUGGCUAUUUGGAAGAAUGACAGAUUGCUGGUUUAACUAUUUGUUACAUAAUGGAAGAAUAUUCUAGGCAUUAGAAUUUAGAGCUUAGUAAUAAUUAGCUAAAUGCAUUUUCUAUGAAAAAGUUGGGUAAAAACAGGACUAAGAAUUUAUUUUCUAUGAAUUUAUGGACUUGGAAUAGAAUCCGCUGUAAUUGACAAAAGA